CUACGUGCCAGCAGCCGCGGUAAUACGGAAGGUUCGGGCGUUAUCCGGAUUUAUUGGGUUUAAAGGGAGCGUAGGCUGGAGAUUAAGUGUGUUGUGAAAUGUAGACGCUCAACGUCUGACUUGCAGCGCAUACUGGUUUCCUUGAGUACGCACAACGUUGGCGGAAUUCGUCGUGUAGCGGUGAAAUGCUUAGAUAUGACGAAGAACUCCGAUUGCGAAGGCAGCUGACGGGAGCGCAACUGACGCUUAAGCUCGAAGGUGCGGGUAUCAAACAGGAUUAGAUACCCUGGUAGUCCGCACAGUAAACGAUGGAUGCCCGCUGUUGGUACUUGGUAUCAGCGGCUAAGCGAAAGCAUUAAGCAUCCCACCUGGGGAGUACGCCGGCAACGGUGAAACUCAAAGGAAUUGGCGGGGGCCCGCACAAGCGGAGGAACAUGUGGUUUAAUUCGAUGAUACGCGAGGAACCUUACCCGGGCUUGAA
rnacentral:rRNA from 1 species